rnacentral:rRNA from 1 species
UACGGAGGAUCCAAGCGUUAUCCGGAAUCAUUGGGUUUAAAGGGUCCGUAGGCGGUCUUAUAAGUCAGUGGUGAAAUCUCCCCGCUCAACGGGGAAACGGCCAUUGAUACUGUAGGACUUGAAUUAUUAGGAAGUAACUAGAAUAUGUAGUGUAGCGGUGAAAUGCUUAGAGAUUACAUGGAAUACCAAUUGCGAAGGCAGGUUACUACUAAUUGAUUGACGCUGAUGGACGAAAGCGUGGGUAGCGAAC